rnacentral:rRNA from 1 species
AACGCAGCGAAGGGCGAUAAGUAAUGUGAAUUGCAGAAUUCAGUGAAUCAUCGAAUCUUUGAACGCACCUUGCACUCUUUGGUAUUCCGAAGAGUAUGCCUGUUUGAGUGUCAUGAAAUCUUCAACCAUUCUGUUGGGUGUUUACGCCUGGCGGUUUGGAUUGGACUUGGGUGUUUGUCGGACAAGCAAUUGUCUGACUCACCUUAAAAGGAUCAGUGGAUCUAUUGUCUUGGACUUUUGCAUUGCAAUUGGUUUGACUUGGCGUAAUAAGUAUUUCGCUAAGGACAGUGCUUCGGUGCUGGCCAUUGCUUUUCAACCGGACUUUGGAAAUCGCUUUCUAACCCUAAUUUUAUUUGACAUCUGGCCUCAAAUCAGGUAGGACUACCCGCUGAACUUAA